rnacentral:rRNA from 1 species
GACGAACGCUGGCGGCGUGCUUAACACAUGCAAGUCGAACGGAAAGGCCCUGCUUGCCGGGUACUCGAGUGGCGAACGGGUGAGUAACACGUGGGUGAUCUGCCCUGCACUUCGGGAUAAGCCUGGGAAACUGGGUCUAAUACCGGAUAGGAGCCAUUUUUAGUGUGAUGGUCGGAAAGUUUUUUCGGUGUAGGAUGAGCUCGCGGCCUAUCAGCUUGUUGGUGGGGUAAUGGCCUACCAAGGCGGCGACGGGUAGCCGGCCUGAGAGGGUGGACGGCCACAUUGGGACUGAGAUACGGCCCAGACUCCUACGGGAGGCAGCAGUGGGGAAUAUUGCACAAUGGGCGCAAGCCUGAUGCAGCGACGCCGCGUGGGGGAUGACGGCCUUCGGGUUGUAAACUCCUUUCGCUAGGGACGAAGCUUUUUGUGACGGUACCUAGAUAAGAAGCACCGGCUAACUACGUG